GGCAGAAGACACCACUUCAUGGGCCACACCUCUCAUUCUUCAAGUCUGUCUGUAAUUUGGAUGACCAGUCUGCACUGAAGCUGAGCGGACCAACAGCACAGGAACUAGCCCCAAGUAUCAGCAGAUGGGAUGGCAUGAAGCAAUCAGCAGGACACACGGACAGCCCCCGGCACGGGAGAACAUCUGACCAGCCACUCUUCAGACAAGGGGCUGACAGCCAGCGUUUACAAGGGACUGCAGAAAUGAAACACCAAGGAAAUAAAACUGCUAGUCAAGGAAAUAAAACCUCUAGUCAACAAACAAAUAGGCAAAUGAACUGAAUAGACAGUUUAAAAAAAAACACAUGGCCAAUAACUAUUUUAAAAAGUGUUCGAUCGACCUACCCAUCAGGGAUAUGCAAAUUAAAACUACUUUGAGAUACCUCUUCACCCUGGCAGAAUGGCCAUCAUCAACAAAUGAAUGUGGCAACAAAUGCUGGAGAGGAUGUGGAGAGAAAGGAACCCUUAUUCACUGUUGGUGGUGAUGCAAAUUAAUACAGCUACUGUGGAAGUCGGUUUGGAGACUUCUCAAAAACUUAAAAAUAGAACUACCAUAUUUCCCUCCUGGGCACACCCCCAGAGAACGCCAUACCCAACCGUGGUUAUUUGCAGCCUAUGUUUAUCUAUGCUUAAUUCAUUAUAGCAAAAAAUUGGAAUCAGCCCAGUUGUCUACUGACAGAUGGAUGAGUAAUGAGAAUUUGGUAUAUGGAACUUACCUGUUGGGUAAUAGCCUCGUGAGGAAUUGAGUCAGGCUGCACUGGGCAAUAGCCCCGAGCCAUAAAGAAUUGCACCAGCUUGACUGUUCCACUCCACCUGCAGAAAGAUAAUGCCUGGGUAAGAUAAUGCCUGGGUGACAAAGCAAUUCAGCCUGCUUCCAGUCAAACCACAAAGAAAUAAACUAAAAUAAUAGCUGUAA